UAACGCGUGAGCAACCUGCCCUUCGGAGGNGGANAGUGUCUGGAAACGGACAGUAAUACCGCAUAACGUAUUUUUACCGCAUGAUAGAAAUACCAAAACUGAGGUGCCGAAGGAUGGGCUCGCGUUGGAUUAGAUAGUUGGUGGGGUAACGGCCUACCAAGUCAACGAUCCAUAGCCGGACUGAGAGGUUGAACGGCCACAUUGGGACUGAGACACGGCCCAGACUCCUACGGGAGGCAGCAGUGGGGAAUAUUGCACAAUGGGGGAAACCCUGAUGCAGCAACGCCGCGUGAAGGAAGACGGUUUUCGGAUUGUAAACUUCUGUUCUUAGUGAAGAAAAAUGACGGUAGCUAAGGAGCAAGCCACGGCUAACUACGUGCCAGCAGCCGCGGUAAUACGUAGGUGGCAAGCGUUGUCCGGAAUUACUGGGUGUAAAGGGAGCGCAGGCGGGAAGCCAAGUCAGCUGUGAAAACUACGGGCUUAACUUGUAGACUGCAGUUGAAACUGGUUUUCUUGAGUGAAGUAGAGGUUGGCGGAAUUCCGAGUGUAGCGGUGAAAUGCGUAGAUAUUCGGAGGAACACCGGUGGCGAAGGCGGCCAACUGGGCUUUAACUGACGCUGAGGCUCGAAAGUGUGGGGAGCAAACAGGAUUAGAUACCCUGGUAGUCCACACUGUAAACGAUGAUAACUAGGUGUGGGGGG
rnacentral:rRNA from 1 species